CUUUUCCUGGACAUGGCUGGAAGCAACCAGGCAGUAUGCUUCCUUGUUUACAUGGAGAGCAGGUGACACAAGGUCUCCCCUUGGGCGCCCGAGCUCCUGCUCCUCAAGAUUGCUGACAGCUAUUAGGAAACACCGAUGCCACUUGGCUGAAGCCUGGGUGUUUGGCCCAGCAAAGGGAUGGGCUGCUGUAAUGAACAGAGAGCCAGCCCAAGUCAGAAGCCAGCCCGGCAGCCUUCGGAGAUACAGGAACUUCUGGAGAAGGAGAACCCAGAGGUACAGCUGGAUUCUGCUCAGAAGGGGCAGAGAUUGGAUGCUAAAGAAGAGAGGACUGUGUCCCCCACAUCUGUGGCCAGCGGAGAAAGCAGGGAAGGCAGAGGCCAGACCAGCUGCUCUCCUAGGGGGGAGAAGACCCAGGCAGCCACACCAAGUAUGCAAAUAGAGAAGGGGCUGGGAAGACACCUCAGGGCUGUGACACUUGAGACCCAGUACAGAAUGGCGGUGCUGGCCAAACAGAAGGAAAGCCCAGGGCCUGGCAGAAAAGCAGAUGUGCCCGUGACCUGCUGGGGAGAGUGGAGCAAAAAUGGGCACACAGAGACGUUCUCAUGCCUGCGUUUCCACCUCUCCGCAUUCCUGUGCUCACGGGCUUGCAGGUCAUCGUGGGGGCCCAGAAAAGGCAGCAUUCUUUUGGGGCAGAGGGUGAGCCUGAGGCACCAUGCUCUGGGGACCUGGAUUGGGGGACAGGGCCAAUCCUGGCUGGGAGCCCAGCGCUCCGGGGUCCCUCAGACCCGUGAUGGGGGGGGGGGGGACUUGUGUCUCCUCAGACAGCUUCCAUGCAGCCUGAGGCCACCUGGCCAAACCUCACUAAAUGACAGUGUAUUCCCAAGGCCCUGGGGUCCAGAGCAGGAGGAGGUGCCAGGGUUGGGGGGACUGGGGGGGGGUAGGGUGUGGACUGCCUUCUUUGUUGGGAUUUGA
rnacentral:lncRNA from 1 species